rnacentral:lncRNA from 1 species
UCUUUCUUCUGAUCUUCGUUCUCAGCUCUCACCAACCUGGCUUAGAGACUUCACUAGGAAGAUGUGUCCUCCGCCAUCCCAGAAUUCUACAGGAUAUAUUUAGGGACCCUCAACUGUAUCUAUUUUACCUUUUUAAAGGAUAACUAAUGGUCUUACACGUUGAAACUCAUAGUACUCACAGAAAUUAAUUCCUUAUAACCUACAACAUUCUUCAUUGUAUCUAUUAAAUAUGAUUGGUUUUGG